CCAAUUUUAGUUUAUUUGAAUGCCCCUUUGUUAAGGGGGAGGCGUGUUUUUGGU
rnacentral:tRNA from 1 species